rnacentral:piRNA from 1 species
UGAUUCUAUGCCUAGCUCACU